rnacentral:rRNA from 1 species
GAUGAACGCUGACGGCGUGCCUAAUACAUGCAAGUCGAGCGAACGGACGAGAAGCUUGCUUCUCUGAUGUUAGCGGCGGACGGGUGAGUAACACGUGGAUAACCUACCUAUAAGACUGGGAUAACUUCGGGAAACCGGAGCUAAUACCGGAUAAUAUUUUGAACCGCAUGGUUCAAAAGUGAAAGACGGUCUUGCUGUCACUUAUAGAUGGAUCCGCGCUGCAUUAGCUAGUUGGUAAGGUAACGGCUUACCAAGGCAACGAUGCAUAGCCGACCUGAGAGGGUGAUCGGCCACACUGGAACUGGGACACGGUCCAGACUCCUACGGGAGGCAGCAGUAGGGAAUCUUCCGCAAUGGGCGAAAGCCUGACGGAGCAACGCCGCGUGAGUGAUGAAGGUCUUCGGAUCGUAAAACUCUGUUAUUAGGGAAGAACAUAUGUGUAAGUAACUGUGCACAUCUUGACGGUACCUAAUCAGAAAGCCACGGCUAACUACGUG